CCUACGGGAGGCAGCAGUGGGGAAUAUUCCACAAUGAGGGAAACCCUGAUGCAGCGACGCCGCGUGCGCGAUGAAGGAUUUCGGUAUGUAAAGCUCUAUCAUCAGGGAAGAAGAUGACGGUACCUGACUAAGAAGCGCCGGCUAACUACGUGCCAGCAGCCGAGGUAAUACGUAGGGGGCACGCGUGAGCCGGAUUUACUGGGUGUAACGUGAGCGUAGACGGCGGUGCAAGCCAGAUGUGAAAGCCCGGGGCUCAACCCCGGGACUGCAUUUGGAACUGUGUGACUGGAGUGUCGGAGAGGCAGGCGGAAUUCCUAGUGUAGCGGUGAAAUGCGUAGAUAUUAGGAGGAACACCAGUGGCGAAGGCGGCCUACUGGACGAUGACUGACGCUGAGGCUCGAAAGCGUGGGGAGCAAACAGGAUUAGAUACCCGUGUAGUC
rnacentral:rRNA from 1 species